CAGUAGCCGCGGUAAUACGUAGGUGGCAAGCGUUGUCCGGAAUUAUUGGGCGUAAAGGGCUCGCAGGCGGUUUCUUAAGUCUGAUGUGAAAGCCCCCGGCUCAACCGGGGUGGGUCGUUGGAGACUGGGAAACUUGAGUGCAGAAGAGGAGAGUGGAAUUCCACGUGUAGCGGUGAAAUGCGUAGAGAUGUGGAGGAACACCAGUGGCGAAGGCGACUCUCUGGUCUGUAACUGACGCUGAGGAGCGAAAGCGUGGGGAGCGAACAGGAUUAGAUACCCCUGUAGUCCCUGUCUCUUAUAC
rnacentral:rRNA from 1 species